GGCACACGCUGGAAACUGCUCCAGAACAUGGUGGGUUUGUUGCUUUUUUUUUUUUUCUUUCCCCUGGUGGAAAAGCAUGCAAUUUUCAUUCUCAGCAUGUCACACUGAGCUGAAAGCGAGAAGCAGCUGAAUUAAAUCUGCUCAGGUAGCAGUGACAUUAACAGCUCAGCUACUUGUGAAAAUGCUGCAUAAAACAAGCUGUCUAUAGCAAGCCAUUGCUCCAGCACUAAGAAGGAGCUGCUAACUGCACCGAAAACAUAUUAAACCCAAAUCCACACUUGCUCAUUUUCCACAAGAAGCCCCCUUCUGCCCCAGCUCCAAGCCCCUUCUUGGGCUCCCUCAGGUCUCAAGCAAAUCCUCCAGGUCUGUCUGCUGGACUCUGUCCUCUGUUUUCUGCCCUUGACCAGUGGCAAUGGCACCUCCAAAGGACCAGGGCUUGUUCAGCAGGGAGCAGAGGACAUGGCAUGCAGCUGCAGGUGGGUGAGUGUGUGGGAGGAGGAAUCCAUAGCCAAACACAGAGCUGCCAAUGGCCAGAGGAUGAGUCUGGGGAAAUGCUGUGACAUGGAUUUCACUUCUGUGGCAAACAGCUCACCAGCCUGAAGCCAGGGGAUCUACAAUGGGUAGCGGACCCCUCCUGUACCCUUCCUGCUGGCAGACUGCAGCUGGGGAAAGGUGCACAGCAUCCUGCUGGGAUACUGGUCCUAUGCGAGUUCAUUGCACUUACUUAAUCACUCUCAGUGCCAAAAAAUCUGCAAUACCCUUCUGUCCCAAGGCAACAGUCCUUUGUCUUGCUCUGAACACCAUCCCAUAGAUGGAAGCUUGGGGUAGCCCAAGGCCAGCAGCCAUUCCCACUCCCCUGCUGGCCAGCAGCCACUGCCCACAGAGGGGGGCCAGCAGCGAGGUCCUGGCUCCACAGGAGUGGGCAGCACAGGCACUGGGGUGACGACACAGAUCUGUCCCGCUCUUACAAAGACGCCAGAGUUGAUACUCAUCAGCUAGUGAGUCACUGCCCGUCCCACAGUCUCUUCCUGCUCAGCAGUGGUGACGGCAAAAAGGGAUCCCACGCCCACACGUCCACUGUGCCACAUGCAGACUGCUGCCAUCCCCUCCUCCAGAGCCAGUCAGCUACUUCACAACAAAGGCACUGAGAAGUGCUCACAGACACUGAGCACAUGGAGGGGCAAAGCAGAGAUGUGUUCUGCCUCAACUCAUGCCUCCCCUUUCAUGCCUCUGAAGGAGCACUUCCUGCUGAGGGACAUUUGGGACCGCAUCCUGAAGCCCCUGGUAAACACAGCAGUACCCCAACACCCCCAUAAUGCUUGCCUUUGCAUGCAUUUAUCACAUGCAGAAACAAGGACUUGUACAUCAGUAAUAGCCUAUCCACGCCUUCAGGUUUCUUUCUGAAAGAGGAGCUACACAGCUGACUGUCUCCCCGAAUGACCAGUGACAAACCCAUAGCAACAGCUCUCUCUGCUGCAGAAAAAAAGGUGGCCACGGACCUCAGCAGGUCGGAGAGCUGGCCCCAAACACCAGCUGCCCCAGGUGGGACACAAAGCAGAAAGCUGAGGCUGUGCAUCCCUCAGGACCUGAGACCCUGUUUGGUUUUCAUCCGAACCAAUAGAGCAUACAAACUGCCACGCAAUGCGUCACUGCCUCUUCCGCUCCCUGUUUUUUAAGCAGCAUUUGUGUGUCUCUCUCAGCGCUGUCCUAAAGCUGUUCCCAUCCCACAGCAAUGACUGUGCUGAUGGCCGGGGGACCUCUGCAGUGAGAGGAGAGAGUGAAUCACUGCACUUCCCCAGGUUUCAGAGCCAGGGAUUAUCUCUACAUACGCACCCAGCCCUGCUUUAUGUAAGCAAGAUUUGAAUGACACAAACAGUUACCUGCGUCCUUGCUUCAAGAGUCUCCAGGAUCCCGUUUGGCAUCACUCAUCUCUAGGUUAAUGAACGGCGCAAACUUGCAUCUCCUGCAAAUGGAAAGCCCUGGAUAAUGGCAGCAGUGAAACAAAUGACAAAAGCCUGCAAGUGGAUAGCUUUGAAAACUGAUACCAUUCAGUAUGAUACGGUAAUGCAAAAAGGUUGCCUGUCCUGGUGUUAUUUAUAAUUCCCUGUAUGCCUGGAUUCCCUCCAGCCAGCAUACAUUAUGCUCAAUCCAGGACAUAUGCAACAAAUCAUACCCAAUUAUGGAAGCUCAGGAGACAAGCUCUCCUUUGAUUACUGCCACAGAUUUCUUUUCCGUAGACCACCAGUCCUAACAAGAGAAGCAGACAAUACAUGAAAAGAAAAGAAAGCUCCAAUCAAUGCCCGUCAUGUACCGAUGGAUAUAUCCAAUCAUAGACCUGAAUGCAAACCAUUGACAAGAAUUGUUCCUCGGGUAUUUAUGCCCUCAGGCAGCCCGUGGCACCCAGCCUGCCUGGGAUAUCAACAGGGUGCUCAGCACACUGCCUCCUACUGCAUCGCUGUGUAAAUCCAGCCCUGCCAUCAAUUACAUAAGGCAUGGUGAGUCCAUCUCACCCAGCACACUGCUGUUGAUGGGACUCCCACUGGUAGGACGGUGGUUUUUUUCUCCAAGUCAAGGCUUAAGCUUUUCCUGGGUUGCUGAUACAAGGAGAAUAGCAAAAGGAGCACAUAUUACAGAGUCAUUCAUCUGUUCAUGUGUCAAAUAUUACACUGAAACUUCAUCUCACCUUCGCUUGUAUUUUCGCCAGAAAUCCCAAGGCAGCAUAUCACAGCUCGCUAUCACACAGCCUGGCAAAAAGCUGUUUAAUGAAUAACUUGAGAAGUACAAACCUCGCUUUGGAGGCUCUCCAAGCUUCCCGAUAGGAAUCCAGUCAAAAGUGACAAUGAAGGCAUUAUCGGCAUGCGGCAGCUGAUUUCCCUGACGGCUCAGCUCACUGACCUGGCUGCUUCUGCUGGGAACGCUCGUCACCCAUGCGCCAGGCAGCCGGCAAGGAGCAGUGCUUCCCACCAACUGCUGCAGUGCAUAUGAGCUGCUUUCACAGCUCCUGGUUACUCAGGGGCUGCCCCAGAUUACUGGGCUGCUUGGCAGAGCUAUGGAUGGCUCCUGGUAGAAGAGCUCUGGAGAAAGGUCAGGGGCAGCCGUGCUUCCCGCUCACCCCAGUGCUGACAUUUGCAGCCGUGUAACCCAGAGUAACAAAGGCACAAUGAGCCUCAUCCAUUUAGCAGUCUUCAAACCUUAUAAAUCCCUUGGGGGAGGCCUGGGUUAAUGCCAAGACAGCAAACACUGUUUCUGUGUGAUGAACACAAGGAUGCUGAAAGCAUCUUUAUGUGCAAUCUGUAGCAGCAGCACAGUGCUAUCCCCACCCAGGGAUGGGCUGUGGGACACAGACGUUCCACCUUGGGAAACUGCCUCUGCUGGGAGGGUGCUGCUAACCUCUGGAUCCCGAUGGAGAGCACUGCUGUCCAAACACCUCUUAUUUCAAAGCAGAGGCUUACUCCUGGGUCCCAUUCAUCCCUCCAAUGAAAAUACCAGAGCAGUUCCAGGUGCCACCAGGGCUGCUCCAUCAGCUACAGGACUCCAUGAGGCUUUCAGUCCAGAGCAUCCCCCAGCAGGACGACACAGAGCCUCCUUCUAGUGAUAGGUCUUACCCAGAGUGCAUUAAGUCCCAAAUUUCAUACCACAAUAUAUCUAGAAAUGACUUUCCCAAUUCAGCACUUAUCUCUCUGCCCAGCCCUGCAUUCCCAGUGGCUGUUCUAACAGUAGAGCAGGACAAAGGUUUCUAAGCUCCACCUCAUGGAAAUGAAGUCUUUAGAGCAUGUAUCUAAGGCACUACAGCAUGCACAUAGAUCUAAACCACAUUCCAUAUUGAGUGACAGCAUUACAUCGAGUCCAGCUUCACAACCGUGUGAUGCACUGCAGGGAAAGGAUAUCCGUUUUCUGAAGUCAAUGAAGACAGUGAGACAAGAGAUUUUACUUAAACUAUAUAUUUUUACGUAAAACAACUUUAUGUUACAAUAAAAUCAGAUAAAAAUCACAAAGUUGUAUAAGUUCAUAAAGCAAAAAAUCAAGUUUUUCUUAUAUAUAUAUAUGUAUAUAUAUAUAUAUAAAACCCAGCAUUUACUGCUACUAGGAGUCUAAAUGUUAACAUUGACUGUCUAUGGCCAAUUCGAAAAAAAUAUAUCUAUUUUCACAGCAGACAAAAUGACGAGGUAAGAGAUGUUAUUACAAUGAUCCAACUGUAGUAAACACUCCAGUCUCCAUUAACUCAAAUACUAAACGUAACAAAACCAAAUAAAAAUACACAUUUAGAGCACUGCAGUGUUUUCCCACAGCUGUGUAUCAACAAAUUCUCAUUCACUAAACUUUACUCGGAACAGUUAAAACAGGGCGCGUGGAUAUCUUCAGUACUAAAGUCUCAUAACAAUCUAAACAUUUUGGUAUCGCAGAUCACACUAAGACACUCUCAGAACUCUCAACGACACAGGGAUAUAUUUCUGUUAAAAACAAUGUGCUUCGUUCAUCACUCAUGAUGAGUUUUACAGAAUAUUAUGCUCGUGAUCACUAUCAGGCAAGGGAAGGAAAACAACGAAAUGCUGCAAAACGCUCCUGCCGAGCACAGCUCCCCUUCACAUGCCCAGGUUGGGCAGCACGCUGCAAACGGAGAAGCUUAGCUCACAAAACCUGCAUUAUCAGUCUCUUUUUAGCUAGUAUAUGGCUAAAAUAAUUAUUGCUGACCGUGUUAUAAACAAACAAACACACAAACCCCCAAAAUACCACACAAAAAUACAUGAGCGGAUUGAUUUUACUCACGUGUCUUUCUUGUCUGUGCCGUUAUUAGGUUACUGGAUGACCAGAAAGGAAAGAGCUAUUUCAAAAUACACAUAUAAAAGAAGAAAAUUGGAGGUAUAGGCACCUUCAUUUGAAGACUGUCUUAUAAAAUAAGAGAAGAGAAGCGCUAACACAGAGCACAGCAGAAAGUCAGACUGUGAGAGGCCCCGCUCUGCCUGCGGCCUGCAGAACCCCAUGGGAAGUAUGGCUGUCACUCUGUUGGCAGUCAUCUCCUGAACGUGGGUUUCACUCCAGGUAUGUUGGUUAGCACAGAGACCAAUACUUCAGACAUGCAAACUUCACAUGACAGUCCAUUUAUCUCCUAGAGGUCAGCAUGAAUGCUGCCGAGCACUCAGGCCUGCACGUGCCCCAGCCACCUGCAUGGGACCUCUGCUUGGAGCUGCUUCUGGGUUAAGCGCCUUGUGCCUACGUAUUGCUGUGCUUAACACAAAGAACGACUGCCAGCAUCUCCGAAAAGCACAUUUGCAGGUCCAAGAGAAGCUGUGCCUUGAAGAGAGUGCAGAAAUGCUGCCCACACAGGUCACGGUCUCAAGAACAAAUGUGAGUAUAUCCUGUUUCUCAGCAUCAGUUUACAUUCAUGUAAGAUGGCACACCAUUUAAUACUGCAGAUUUUUCUGAACUGCACUGAAUAAUUAGUUUAACUGAUGUAUGAAUAACUAUAUCCAGGCAAUAUUCCAGCUACUGACACGGGGGAAAGGAAGAGUAAUUUUCUUUGUAUUUUGAGAUAUGAGCUCUCAUGCAUAUGCAUAUGUACACACAUGCACAAUGCUUGAGAACUCGUAUGUAAAAACAUACAAAUAUUAUACUAUAUAUACGCUAUUAUACUGCUUACUUACUAUAUAUAAUACAGUAUGUAUGUGCAUAAAUAUAUACUAUAUAGUAUAUGGCAUAUGAUGUACAAUGUAUGUCUGUAUAGAUACUUUAAUAGAUAGUUCCAUCCUGACUCUCAUGUCUUUAAAUUUCUCUCUCCCCAUUUGCUACAAGAAGAUGGUAUCAGCAGUUCUUCUCAGAGGGCAAUGUUCACAAUUGGGCUUCAUGCUGGUUACUCCUGGGUGGUUUAAACCUAAUCAAGGACCUGCUAAAUGCAAGCAUGCAGUUUGAAAACAAAUUAAUGAAUUGGAUGACAGGUGAUACUCAUAAGACAAUUGAGUUUCUGGUUCAUUUGGUAUCACAAAAAAGUGAAAUCUGAGCAAAAUGCUAGUAAAUAAGGGUUCUUAUAUGUGCUAUUACCACAGGAAGGCUGGGAAGAAAGCAUGACAUUUUCCUUGGAAAUACGGUGCUGAGAACCGUAUUGUAUUUAUAACAGUGCAUCAAAAUCCAUCUCCCUAAACUAUUUCCUUGUGCCAUCUUAAAACCCCUUAAUAGCACUGCUUUUAAGGGUGCCAGCUGAGAUGUUGUAAUGGCACACGGCAAACUUUACUGCACCUGCUGACAGCUCUUUCUUUCUGAAACAGCACAGAGCAUUUGGUCACUGUAAUGAAGGAAAAGACAAGGAUCCCAUUAUUUUUCCCGCUGUUCAGGGGCUCCAAGCCAUCAACAUCAUUCUCCUUAGAAAAAUGACCGCCCCGUAUAUCAAAAAUGACAAAAUGGGCUACACUCCAAAUGAAUCCGAGUUUCUCACUUUUGGCCUUAGCUC